GUGGGGAAUAUUGGACAAUGGGCGAAAGCCUGAUCCAGCCAUGCCGCGUGUGUGAAGAAGGUCUUCGGAUUGUAAAGCACUUUAAGUUGGGAGGAAGGGCAGUAAGUUAAUACCUUGCUGUUUUGACGUUACCGACAGAAUAAGCACCGGCUAACUUCGUGCCAGCAGCCGCGGUAAUACGAAGGGUGCAAGCGUUAAUCGGAAUUACUGGGCGUAAAGCGCGCGUAGGUGGUUUUGUAAGUUGGAGGUGAAAUCCCCGGGCUCAACCUGGGAACUGCCUCCAAAACUGCAGGACUAGAGUACGGUAGAGGGUAGUGGAAUUUCCUGUGUAGCGGUGAAAUGCGUAGAUAUAGGAAGGAACACCAGUGGCGAAGGCGACUACCUGGACUGAUACUGACACUGAGGUGCGAAAGCGUGGGGAGCAAACAGGAUUAGAAACCCCAGUAGUCC
rnacentral:rRNA from 1 species